CGUCUGUGUCAGCACGCCCACACCAGGCCACAACAGUGGCCGCCACCAAUGUCCCCGUCCCUGGAGAGUUCUCCCCUCUCACCGAGAUGCACUCAGGGCCUAUCAGGUACCUCGCCAGCAAAGCAAUCCAUUGAUUGACCCCAGAACUUUGGUUCUGGUCUGACGUGAGAAACUUCAGCCACGACAUUAAGGAGAUUUCACAGUUAACUGCCUGAUUUCAGAUAUUUCUUCACUAUGUCAUGUCCCCCCCAUGAAGCAUAAUGGAGUCAUGGCUUCUUUAACCCAAAGAACAUUUUCAAGAAAGUACUGCAAAAUCUAAUAGUCCACUGCCUGAACUUCUUAUUCAUGUCAGUGGAAAUUAUUGAAGUGGAGCUGACUGUAUUCUAAGACAGAACUAACCCAGGGAGAAUGAGUGAGGGAAGCUGCAGGCACCCGGAUGAGGAUGCACAUUCCCUGCAAAGGCGUCGUUCACUUUAUGGGGACAAACAGGUAAAUUUUGAAAAUAUAUUUACACUGUCAGCUUUUUAAAGAAAAUCUGGAGCACUUUUGAAUUUUACAAUUGAAGGAAGUGUUACUGACUUUAUAUUUCAGUAUUUUACAAACUAAGUGAACCUAAGGGUAGGUCAGGGCUACUGGCAAAUUUAAUAUGAAGUGGUUAAAAGCGAGAAAAACGUUAUUAUCCAGCAUCCUCUUCUGGGGAUUCUUAAUUGCCGGUUUUCCUUCUGGUUUUCUGUACCAUUAAGCUGGAUUUCAUUUGAUACUGAGAUGCAGAGAAUAAGAAGGAACAUCCAUCCCUCUCUGAUAUAAAUGCAGAAAGAUGAUUAAAAAAUCAGAAACCCUUCAGAAGCUAACAGUAUGUACAAGAGUGGCCUAGGAUAAACAAUUGUCGAUGGAUAUUUUAAUCAAAAUUUAAGGAGUAUGCAAUAGCACUUACUGUAAGCCAAAAACAAGUUUUCUGUGUUUUUUCUCUAACCUUCUUUUAUAAUGGACAGCUUCUGAAUCACUGAUACUGUAGCUCUUCUCUUAAGAAACUUUCAUUUUAACAAUUUUUAAAAGUGAAGCAGAGAUCUUUCUGAGAAAUUAAUUUUCAAGGAAUAUCAAGUGAACAUUUCUGAAGAAUGCCAUGGGAUAUUCUGUGAAAAAAGGAGCUCUCGAAGGCAUUGUGUUUACUAGGUGCUCGUGGAUCCUUGGAAGAGAUCGGGGUGAAAGGUCAGCACAUCCUUCAGAGAUGACCUAGGCGCCAAUGUCAGUGAGGAUAGUGCUGACAUCAGGAUGCAAGCAUCGACAUUUUGAGUCUCUUAGUUUCACUAUUCCCUUUGUACUAGUCUUAGAAACUGUCAUUCUGGCAUAUUCUGAGUAAGAAAAUAAGGCGUUUCCCAACAAGUACCUUUCACACUUCCCCUUCAAUUCCCUCACCCCUUUCCUUUACCCUCAGCUCAUGCAGUCCCCAAAGCAAUCUUAUCCCUCAAUUACAUCUUGCUCACGAAAGUUCACCAUUAUCUUGAAGAUGUUUCUCAAAAUGUUAUGGUAAGAAAACAAGUUUUAUAUUUAAGUUAAACCUUAGUCAUGAGCCAUUAUAUGUUGGGGGUUAACAACAAAAAUUUU